rnacentral:rRNA from 1 species
AUUGAACGCUGGCGGCAUGCCUUACACAUGCAAGUCGAACGGUAACGCGGGGCAACCUGGCGACGAGUGGCGAACGGGUGAGUAAUGUAUCGGAACGUGCCCAGUUGUGGGGGAUAACUGCUCGAAAGAGCAGCUAAUACCGCAUACGACCUGAGGGUGAAAGCGGGGGAUCGCAAGACCUCGCGCAAUUGGAGCGGCCGAUAUCAGAUUAGGUAGUUGGUGGGGUAAAGGCUCACCAAGCCGACGAUCUGUAGCUGGUCUGAGAGGACGACCAGCCACACUGGGACUGAGACACGGCCCAGACUCCUACGGGAGGCAGCAGUGGGGAAUUUUGGACAAUGGACGCAAGUCUGAUCCAGCCAUGCCGCGUGCGGGAAGAAGGCCUUCGGGUUGUAAACCGCUUUUGUCAGGGAAGAAGAGGCUCCUUCUAAUAUAGGGGGCUCAUGACGGUACCUGAAGAGUAAGCACCGGCUAACUACGUGCCAGCCGCCGCCGUAA